UUGGCCUCUUCGAAGAUUGCUAUACCUGUUUUCCGUGGUAUAGUGAUUCAAAGCGACGCCUAGAACAACCCACGACUAAUUUGGCUUUUACUUCUCAGUACACUACAAUUAAAGAAGUUCGUUAACGGAGUAGAACUGGU
rnacentral:snoRNA from 1 species